CCCCAGGUCAGGCGGGACUACCAACUAAGUUGAAGCAUAUAAAUAACGGUGAGCGAACUGGGAGAUGCUCAGCUUGAGAAUCGGGAGAUGCCGAGCUUGAGAAUCGGGCGGCCGCACCGUUCGAACUGUAGUCUGGAGAGGCGUCCUCAGCGACGGACCGGGCCUAAGUCCCCAGGAAAGGGGUGCCUGGGAGGGUGAGAGCCCCGUCCGGGUUGGACCCUAUCGCCUCAUGAGGGCGCGUCAACGAGUUAGGUUGUUUGAGAAUGCAACCCAAAUCGGGCGAUAAACUCCGUCCAAGGCUAAAUACAGGCGAGAGACCGAUAGCGAACAAGUACCACGAGGGAAAGAUGAAAAGGACUUUGAAAAGAGAGUCAAACAGUGCUUGAAAUUGCUGGGAGGGAAGCGGAUGGGGGCCGGCGAUGCGCCCUGGUCGUAUGCGUAACAACUUCGGCUGGUCCGCCAAUUUGAUCAGGGCGUGGACUGUUGUCGGCCACUCCGGUGGCCAAAGCUCGGGGGCCUCGCGCCCCUCGUAGCCGUUGUCGGCGUAGCCGGUCACCGCGCGCCUUCUGGCGCGCCCCUUGGGGUGCCACGCUGUAACGGCCUGCGGGCUCCCCAUCUGACCCGUCUUGAAACACGGACUAAGGAGUCUGACAUGCGUGCGAGUCGAUGGGUUCUGAAACCUAGGAUGCCAAGGAAGCUGAUGAGCGGGAGGCCCUCAUGGGCCGCAUCGCUGGCCAACCCUGAUCUUCUGUGAAGGGUUUGAGUUGGAGCACACCUGUCGGGACCUGAAAGAUGGUGAACUAUGCCUGAGCGGGGUGAAGCCAGAGGAAACUCUGGUGGAGGCUCAAAGUGAUACUAACGUGCAAAUCGUUCGUCUGACUUGGGUAUAGGGGCGAAAGACUAAUCGAACCAUCUAGUAGUUGGUUCCCUCCGAAGUUUCCCUC
rnacentral:rRNA from 1 species